rnacentral:lncRNA from 1 species
GUCCGUGAAGCCCAGCCUUUAAUACUACACUGUGAUUCAAAGCACUAAUCAAACAUUCUUCAUGCUUGAAGCUGCAAGUUAUUUACAAUGACAGUCAUAUUUCCCAGGAAUACCUAAAUUAGUAGGUGAAGUUACCUUUUUUCCCUUCUCUCAAAUUUCUACACUCAACUUCUUUUCAGAUGUCCUAAUAUAGUCAUGGCGGAGCCACAAAACGUGACAGAAUAAACACAUCCAUGGGUCAUCGAUGAGCCGAACUUUGUGAAACAUCUAAGAAAAUGUGUUUGGAAAAGGACUGCACAGUUUAGAAGAAUUUCAGAGUAACUCACGAAUCAGCUAACCCAGUCAAAAGAUUACUCACUUAAGAAUGAUAUAAUUACUUUCAGUUUGCUUAAAGCCGGGGAAAAGUUGACACAGCGAUUAAAGGAAAAAUGGGUGAAAAAAAUAGAGUUACAUUAUACCUACUAAAUUCAGGCUGUUCCAAGGAGUAUGCCCACGGCUUAUUUGAGGAAAGAUUAUCUUGACAAAUUGGAUAAACAUUUUCUGCAUGACAGGACGCUGAUGGAGAGUCUGUUCUGCAAGCACACCUGGUGGUGGUUUGCUUAGUGUUUGACCAAGGUGUUCAGCUCGCCCGAGUUCUCCCAGGGGCUUUGUUUACCAUUUGGCAGGUAGAGGCAGAGCUAAGGUAGGCCUUGGUAACGGUUGUUGGGCUCUGCAGAUGUCUUACCCCACCCCAUCCCCACCCCCAUCUCCCCAUUUGGGCUAAAACAACUCUUGGCUAGACCGGUCCACAAAAGCCAACACCAGACUUUAACAAACAGUUCAUGCUUAAGGAGACCUGCAGUCUAAUGUCCCAGAGGCAAAUAAAAAUGGCAAAUGCAAAUAUAUGCACCAACACCCCCUCUCCCUUCUUUGGCUUCCUUCCAUAGUCAACUGGGAUGGAGAGGUCAAGUCCCACACGGGAUUGCUAUGGAUGCAAUUUUCCAGCACAGAAGUCAUCCCAGUACCAGGACUGAGGUUUGAGUGCCCCUCAAGGCCAUGCUUGUGUGAGCCCAAAUGACUAUAGACAUGGGAGGUUGGUGGCUUCCCCUAAUGCUUUUGGGAAGACUCUGGUGUUCUCAAGUUACCUAAAUAUCUGCAGGCAGCCCCGCCCUCCAAAGUGUCCUUGCUAUGUUUGGCAUCCUUGAGAAGCCAGCACUUUCUGGAGACAGUAAUUUGUAGAAUGGCUUGCUAGGGUUGGCCAUUCAGUACUUUCUGGUGCUGCUUUAUCAUUCAGGGAAGCAUCAACUUGGGGAGCAGCAUAUCUAGAGAUGUCUUUGGACAGUGUUGUAUAUCCCAUUGCAUUCAGGCCUCCCAAAGGGAAAUGAACAAACAGCCCUACUGUUAGGAUGAGUUUGCAUUUUGCUAGGUCACCUUGGUUCAUCCAAAAUUGGGUCAACUAAUUUACAUCAAUUUGUAGCUCAUCCAGAGGUUCCAGGCAUAAAGGCCUCAUAUUAUCACGUAGGAUAUACCAGUUAGAAAUGACAUUAGAGGAGUUCCCGUCAUGGCUCAGUGGUUAACAAAUCCGACUAGGAACCAUGAGGUUUCGGGUUGAAUCCCUGGCCUUGCUCAGUAGGUUAAGGAUCUGGCAUUGCUGUGGGCUGUGGUGUAGGUCACAGAUGCGGUUCGGAUCCCGAGUUGCUGUGGCUGUGGCGUAGGCCGGUGGCUAGAGUUCCAAUUAGACACCUAACCUGUGAACUUCCAUGUGCCUCAGGUGUGGCCCUAAAAAGGGUAAAAAGACAAAAAAAAAAAAAAAAGAGAGAGAGAAAGAAAAGAAAGAGAAAUGACAUUAGAGGAUGGUUUGAAUUUGUUAAGUCUAUAAAUCCUUAGGGAGUCAGUAUAUGAAGCACCACUGAGCUCCACCCUCAAGCAGAGUUCAUUUUGCAGUCCUAAAGCUAAAACUUAAGUUUUAGAAAUUGCAUACCCACAAUCCCCUUGACAGCAUGAAUGCGCCAGAUUUCUUUCUGAACACUUCUGUUUCAUCCCUCUGCCCAUCUCCUUAACUUUUUAAACAAGUAAAAAAUAAAUAAAUAAAGUAAAAUAAAGCCCUGGGGGAAAGACAAAACAAUGAAACAAUAAAGUAUUAAAGUAUUUCAGUUUGAUUCGAAAUUAUCCAAUAUUUACUAUAUGUCUACUACAUGCAGUAGUACAUAUAGUACAUUUAUUGUGUAUACUACUAUGUAUCUUGUAUAAUCCUCACCUUGAAGUAUUAAUUACCUGUGCCUUAAAGAUAUGGGAGCACAAAUUUAGAAAAAGGCAUUAUAUGUCAAGUCCAUGUUCACACAACUAGAAUGUCCAGAAGCCAGGAGUGAAUUUCAGUGACUUUCUGCCUGACUUCGUUCUGGUGCUCAUUUUACAAGAGUCCAACUCCUGUGUCUUUUAAAGAUUGAUCAGGUCAAAGCUGAUAAUUUUUUAGGGCACAAUAACAAAACAUUUAUAACCAUACAUGUUAAUAAAAAAAAAAGAGAGAGAGAAAGAAUUGAAAUAAUUUUUUUUCUUUUUCUUUUUUUUUUUUUAGGGCUGCACCCAUGGCAUAUGAAAGUUCCUGGGCUAGGGGUUGAACUAGAGCUGCAGCUGCAGGCCAAAGCUACAGCCACAACAACACCAACACCAGAUCCAAACUAUAUCUGUGACCUAUACCGUGGUUCACAGCAACGCUGAAUCCUUAAGCCACUGAGUAAGGCCAGGGAUCAAACCCUCAUCCUCAUGGAU